rnacentral:rRNA from 1 species
CGCAUCUGUGCAUGCAGCAUAUCAAUAAGCGGAGGAAAAGAAACUAACAAGGAUUCCCCUAGUAACGGCGAGUGAAGCGGGAAGAGCUCAAAUUUGAAAUCUUAAAGGGUUUCCCUUUACGAAUUGUAGUUUAAAGAAGUGUUUUCUGUUGAGGUUUUGGUAAAAGUUCUUUGGAAUAGGACAUCAUAGAGGGUGAGAAUCCCGUAUUUGACCUUUACUUUCAACUUUGUGAUACACUUUCAAAGAGUCGGAUUGUUUGGGAAUGCAGUCCAAAAUGGGUGGUAAAUUUCAUCUACAGCUAAAUAUUGGCGAGAGACCGAUAGCGAACAAGUACCUGUGAGGGAAAGAUGAAAAGAACUUUGAAAAGAGAGUUAAACAGUACGUGAAAUUGUCAAAAGGGAAGCGUUUGACACCAGUGUUGUUUUUCUGAAAAUCAAUUAAAGAACUGUUUAUGCUAAGCUGUUUAGACUUUAUCAGCUAACUGUUUAGUUUUGAGCUUUUCUUUAAUGCACUUUUCAGUUAACAAGUCAACAUCAAUUUCUUUUGCUGUAAAAAAGCUUGAGGAAGGUGGCUUGAGAUUCGUCUUAAGUGUUUAUAGCCUCUUGCCUAUGCAGUCGGAGAGAUUGAGGUCUGCAGCGUAGAUCCUUCGGGGCUAAAUGCAUUUGUGCUAAGUUAUAGCAUUUUAUAGACAACUUGUUGACUAUGAUUUGUCUUGUAGCUUACUCGCUUAUGUUAUUUUACCUACGCUUAGGAUGUUGAGUCAUCACACAUCUCU